AACAAUCAUUUUACGUCUCCAGCCCCCAUAACCACUACCCGAGAAGGGAGUGGGAACGAGAGAUACCCCAGGGACAUCAAAAGAAUAUAUAUAAAAGGGGACUGGAAGAGUCUACAGAAGGGGAGGCAUCAGUAUUUGUGUUAGAAGCCAUAGUCAAUGAACUGGCUUAAAAGAACAACUUUUCAACAAACAGAUUAUAACCAAAUCAAGUAUUCACACACAAUAACCAACAAACAGAUAUAACCAAAUCAGGUAUUCACAGACAACACCAGAUGCUCACAUACACAGAGUCAGAUAAUCAUACGCUAAAUUUUAUUAUAACGCUAUUCACCCCCCCUCUAGCGUUAAGCGUAUUUUCUAACAAGUAUAACCAAAUCAGGUAUUCAUAGACAACACUAGAUGCUCACAUAUACACAGUCAAAUAAUCACAUACAAUACCGAAGAUAAGGACAGAGUUACCCUCCUUCUUCGCGACCGCAGAAGAUCGGCCUUCAAACAACAGAGAAACCCUAGGUGUAACCUUGGAAAUCGUUACUGGAAAUGUAGUCAGGAACGUCUUAGAGGCACCCAAAACAUCCACUGAGUGAGAAUCGAGCCACCGGAAAGCAGUAGAACCCUAGGUUAAGCCACCAGAAACCCUAGAAGCCGAUAGGUCACCGAGAAACCACCCAAAAUCAGCAGAAAACCACUCAGAAUGUCGGGUGAAGAAAAUAUACUCAAAUAUCAUGAUGAAAAACUCGGAAAAGCAUCCGAUCUAGGUCAAAGCCAUCAUCGACCAUAAGGUCUCAGAAAAAGCCCUAGAAAAUCUCCAAAAGAGUUCAACCAAGACAACGAGAAGUAGAGAAACAUAAUCGGAUCGUCGUCUAGGCUCUCUUACCAUGUAAACAUUGAUAUUAGACCGAGAAAUCAUAGAAAAUAUAGAGAGAGAAGGUAGAGAGAAGUCAGAGCAUUUCGGAACUCUGGAAGAUGAGAGAUGUUAUUACAGAGAAAAGAAAGAAAA
rnacentral:lncRNA from 1 species